rnacentral:tRNA from 1 species
GCGGCCGUCGUCUAGCCUGGACAGGACACUGGCCUUCCACGCCAGCGACCCGGGUUCAAAUCCCGGCGGCCGCACCA